GCCAGCAUCCUAGCCGAAGCGCGGACCUCAGUCCCGGCUGGCCGUAUUACACCCUGGGCUAUAACACCUCCACCGAAGUGGAGGCCACAUUCCCAGAGCCUUUAUCCGGCCGCCGAAACUGAUGCUGGCCUGUCCAAACUGAGUAAACCGGUCAGAAGACCGGCCGAACAGUUUAAACAAGUCUGAUUGCAAGCGCUUCCCUUUCAACAAUUUCACGUGCUUUUUAACUCUCUUUCCAAAGUGCUUUUCAUCUUUCGAUCACUCUACUUGUGCGCUAUCGGUCUCUCGCCAAUAUUUAGCUUUAGAAGAAAUUUACCUCCCAUUUAGAGCUGCAUUCCCAAACAACUCGACUCGUCGAAGGAGAUUUACAUAGGGUGCCAUUUCCUGUCACAUACGGGAUUCUCACCCUCUAUGACGUCCUGUUCCAAGGAACUUAGACAGGCGGCUUCCCCAAAUCAUCCUCUACAAAUUACAAUGCGAACCCGAAGGCUAGCUUUCAAAUUUGAGCUGUUGCCGCUUCACUCGCC
rnacentral:rRNA from 1 species